rnacentral:rRNA from 1 species
CCCUUAGAUGUUCUGGGCCGCACACGCGCUACACUGAAGGAGGCAGCGUGUACUCCUGGAUCGAAAGAUUUGGGUAACCCGCGAAUCUCCUUCGUGCUAGGGAUUGAGGUUUGCAAUUAUCCUUCAUGAACGAGGAAUUCCCAGUAAGUGCAAGUCAUAAGCUUGCGCUGACUACGUCCCUGCCCUUUGUACACACCGCCCGUCGCUACUACCGAUUGAAUGAUUUAGUGAGGACUUCGGACUGGGACCGAUACGGCUUUCGGGCUGCGUCGGUAUUCUGGAAAGAUGUCCAAACUGUAUCAUUUAGAGGAAGUAAAAGUCGUAACA